rnacentral:misc_RNA from 1 species
GUAGGUGAACCUGCGGAAGGAUCAUUAUUGAAUAAAUCUGAUGUGGUUGUAGCUGGCUCUUAGGAGCAUGUGCACACCCGUCACCUUUAUCUUUCCACCUGUGCACACACUGUAGUCCUGGAUACCUCUCGCUGAAAGGCGGAUGCGGAGUUUGCUGAGCCUUCGCAAGAAGGCCGGCUCACUCUGAAUUUCCAGGUCUAUGAUUUUAUACACCCCAAACGAAUGUUACAGAAUGUUAUCAUCAGGCUUC